rnacentral:lncRNA from 1 species
UAGGCUUUGCAUCAGUGAGUUGCACGCUUACAGAGUGUCAUAAAGCUUUAUCUACAUAUAUGAUGAAAUUGAAGUCAGACUUGACAAACUCAGAACUCCCUUUCUGGGAAGAGGAUAGGAGCAGCCAGGGACCAGAUGUACAGAGCUGCGGUUGCCCAUCCAGUCACGAUCCUGACCCACACAGAUGGCCACCCAACAUCCACCAAUCUCCCACUCUCACCAACUGAGGUCGACCACCCUGUCAGGAGCAUAGCUGAAUACAUGCUUGCAAGAGAGAAGAUGAUGUGGAAGAAGGUAUAUGAGUAUGUGACUGGCUUAGCCUCGUGUUUUUCUUCAGGCACAUCCGUCUUUUCCAGUGGAAGCAAAGGCUUUCCAGC